GAUGAACGCUGACAGAAUGCUUAACACAUGCAAGUCUACUUGAUUCUACUUCGGUAGUUGAUGGUGGCGGACGGGUGAGUAACGCGUAAAGAAUCUGCCCUUUAGUUUGGGAUAACCUUUGGAAACGAAGGCUAAUCCCGGAUAUUAUGGAGACGUCGCAUGACGACUCCAUGAAAGCUAUAUGCGCUGGAGGAUGACUUUGCGUCCCAUUAGUUAGUUGGUGAGGGAAUGGAUCACCAAGAACGCGAUGGGUAGAAGGCCUGGGAGGGUGAUCGGCCACAAGGGAACUGAGACACGGUCCUUACUCCUACGGGAGGCAGCAGUGGGGAAUAUUGGACAAUGGGCCACAAGCCUGAUCCAGCAAUUCUGUGUGCACGAUGAAGGUCUUCGGAUUGUAAAGUGCUUUCAGUAGGGAAGAAAAAAAUGACGGUACCUACAGAAGAAGCGACGGCUAAAUAUGUGCCAGCCGCCGCGGUAA
rnacentral:rRNA from 1 species